rnacentral:rRNA from 1 species
UACAGAGGUCUCAAGCGUUGUUCGGAUUCAUUGGGCGUAAAGGGUGCGUAGGCGGCGCGGUAAGUCGGGUGUGAAAUCUCGGGGCUUAACUCCGAAACUGCAUUUGAUACUGGCGUGCUUGAGGACUGGAGAGGAGACUGGAAUUCAUGGUGUAGCAGUGAAAUGCGUAGAGAUCAUGAGGAAGACCAGUGGCGAAGGCGGGUCUCUGGGCCGAUAUUGACGCUGAGGAGCGAAAGCGUGGGGAGCGAACAGG